UCCAUGCUCUGCUCUGCUCUGCUCAGCUGCCUUGCCAGGGAAAUGCUUCCACAUCCCUGCUGAGGGCCAGCAACUGCAGGGAAGUGCUGGCUGAUGGCCAAGAGGCGGAGAGCUUUCCAGGAGUGUUUGACCAAUGUGCCCUGUUAUAAAGUGCCCAGUUUAAGGUGCCCUUCAGGAAGAAUUAGCAGAAACUCAGGGCAAGCAUGAGUUAUGUACACUUUCAUGUCCUUCUAAUGCUGCUGUCCCCAACCUUCUUGCACCCAGAUCCUCUUAUUCCCCCUUUAGCUUGGAGAACAGAUGCAUGGAAAAAGAGCAUCUUCUUUUACAGCUCCAGCCCAGACUUUUGAUCUGGUUUCAUCCCUUGCACAGCACUGAAGUUUCGUGCACAAAAGUCUAUAAUUUUUUAAGAUUCCUCUAGCCCAAACUGUGCUACACCUGACUUGGACAUGUUACUUAGGGUGAUGUAUUUGAUUAUACAUUGAACCCAAAAUCUUGGCUUCCCCUGCUUUUGUCAUCUGCCUUCUUUUUCUGCAUGCUUUUCCCCUUCUGCAGGAUCUUUGAUGGUUUCUUUUUGUCUCCCUUCAGCUGUUUGUGGGAUGAUCUUUCCUUUGUAUCCUUACUUGCCCCUCUGAGCUUAUCCACAAACUUAUGUCUUCUUUCCAUGCAGACAACUUUCAUUCAUUGACUUUGCCUCCAUCUAUCAGGAUGGGAAUCUCAUUCUGCAACAUUUCCUUGGGAACUAUUUGCUGUCAUCAUGAGCUCCGCAUGGUUAAAAGAGAUGUUAAUGUUUUCUCUGCACCAAGGUGGCAGCGCUUUUCUUGACUGCUUUUCACUCAGUCCUGCUUCCUACUUGUUGCUCUCCCUACAUCUCCAGGUCUUUGUCUUGCAGGGUGUGGGUGUGGAGAGGUGUGUGUUUGUAUAAAGUAUGAAAUAAAACUUUUCCUACCUCUUUUAGCUAAGAUUUAUUGCCCAUACCUUGCCUGUUACAGGAUUCUUUGCUCUCAAAAAAUGCAUUUUUGAUUCUUGAAAGAUUGUCAAGAUCCUUUUCCUUGCAUUAGGCUCACAUCAACACUCUGCAUCUUUUUCAAAUGUGCCCUCCUUGAAAUUGGCUCACACAUUCUAAAGUCCCUUCUCAUCCCUCAUUUACCAGGUACAGGCUGGUUCCUUGCUCCUGCUGGUCCACCAUGCAACCUUUACUUUCUCACGGCAUUUUCAGAUGCUGUUAUGGCUGUGUUACUCCUCAAGCCUGGCAGAGGACUCCUGUAAACAUAUAUCUGCAUGUAUCUCCUUCAAACACUCCCUUCUCCAUGAGCACACAUCCAGUGUGUUAGGCAGUUCAGACAUCCCUUCCAGCUGUGGCAGUUUUUGAUGGCUGUGUGUCAGGAUGAAAUGCUGGGAAUAAGUAAGGGAUUUGUGAAGCUAAAAACACACCGAAGGAGUUGCCUAAUUUAGAAUCAACAAGCUAUUUUCAAAGGCACAGUGGGAGCUCUUCACAUUGCAUGGCCUGCAUCUUCAUUUGCACUGUAGGCUGUGCGUCAGCAAGGCUGCAGGAUAGAGGAAACUCGACAGUGCUUCAUUUUCAUUUUUACAUAUGCAAGAAACCAGCACAUUGUGUCUACUCAGGGGACUUUUACACUGUGGAUUAUAUUCCUUCCUCAGCCCCUCUGACCUCCAGUCAUGCAGGUAUGAGUAAAGAUCUUUGCUCAAGAAAAUAAAAAGGUUAUGUAAUUUACUCUCUGUAAAACCCUGAUAUAAAUCUGAUCCCUGGAAUGAAAUGGGUUAGAAAAUCACCCUUUUGUGAACUGUUUCUGUUAACUUUGGUGACUGAAACGGAGUGGUGAACACAGAGCACUAUUUGGGCACGUAGGAGUGACAGCAAUAAAAAUGAAGAAUUUGCUUGAAGAGAUUAUAGGCAGGAUGCCUUACACUGCUUCGUUCCCUCUGGGAGAGGAAGAGUUUGCAGGAGAAUACUUAGUAAAUCAGCGGAUGUUGUGCUCCACAAGCUCAGCAGUGAGUAAUCCCUGGUUCACUGGUUCCUAGCCCCAGUAAUCCAGUUAUCAGGAAACAGCAAAAUCCCGGGCACAGAGACUCCUCUCCUGACUCUUGACCAUGGAUGCAAGUUUAUCCAUCUCCUCUGAGUUGGGAAGAGGUUGAUAUGAAGGAAAAUCACACAAGCAACCAUGACACACCCCUGGCAAAGAGCCAUGCUCCAAGGAGAUGAUUUCCCAUUGCCCCCACGUUCCCUGCAUGUUGGAGGUGCCUGGUGUGGGGGGUGCUGCAUGGGCUGCCCACCCUGGUGCAGCUCCUGCUCUCCAAGGUGAUGGCUGGGCCAGCCUCGGGGUCUGCUGGUGGCAGCACCAGCAUUCUCUGCCUCCCAUCACCGGAUCAUCUCCCAUGGAACCUCACAGAAUCCCCUGUUGCAUUAGAUGUUCCAAAGUGGUCCGUUUAGAUAUGUAGAACACAUGAUCAGUGUCUUACAAAAGACCUCAGCACACUGGUUGUUAGGGCUCUGAAAAUCUGCCUGGAGCUGUGAUUGUGGCAGCUGCAGCUCUCCAAGUGCCUUUGAAAAGUGGGUCCUUGUGUACUUUUCUCAAUGCAGGCUGCAGUUUGAAACUCCGGCUCCACUUCCAGGUGGUACUCUCAUAAGCAACGCAGGAGCCUAAAUUUCAUUACCUUUCAUGUUACUCCAGUGGUGAAACAGGGGUUUUGAUACUUACUGUCCUUUGGAGAAAGGCUUGGAAUCUUGAAAGGAACACAGAGGUGGUAUGCUCAUACAAACGCCCAGACAUGUUGCCUGCUCAGGGAAGAUAAACAGUAGAGUGAAAUGAUUAAAAAGUUUCUCAUUCUCUGUGGUCAGAAGACUUUGUCCUAAACCUGAAGCUUGGAUUUGUCAAAAGCAAAAAUGAGAAAGCUGUAAGUUUAGACUUGAAGUGCUUCCUGGAAUAACUAUCAACCUUGCAAAGAUAAAGGUGAAGUGCAUCCUUGCAGAAUUCAUGAGAGCCCUUUCCUUCACUGAUGGAGACAUGUGGGAGGGAUAUGGUGAUAUGCCCCAUCUCAAAAGAGUGAUCAACAUCACUGUCUGCCACCAGAUCAGCAGGAUUUCUAGCACUGCUUCUCAUUUCUUCCUUUGCUCACCUCACAUAGUUUGCCAUGUAAAGGGAAGAGAGGUUUCAGUGUAGGAGAGUUCAAAUGCUGAAGAGGGAUGAUUUAGUGGUUCUGUUAGAGGACUUUUGUCAAACUGACCACUUUGUUUUCCAUCUGAA